rnacentral:rRNA from 1 species
AUUGAACGCUGGCGGCAGGCCUAACACAUGCAAGUCGAACGGUAACAGGAAGAAGCUUGCUUCUUUGCUGACGAGUGGCGGACGGGUGAGUAAUGUCUGUGAAACUGCCUGAUGGAGGGGGAUAACUACUGGAAACGGUAGCUAAUACCGCAUAACGUCGCAAGAACAAAGAGGGGGACCUUCGGGCCUCUUGCACUUGGCUGUGCCCAGGUGGGACUUGCUUGGUGGUGGGGUAACGGAUCACCCAGGGCACCAACCCCAUGCGGGCUGAGAGGGAUGACCAGCCACACGGGAACUGGACACGGGUCCAGACCCCUAGGGGGGGCAGCGGGGGGGAAUGUUGCACAAGGGGGGAAAGCCUGCUGCAGCCCGGCCGCGUGUAUGAAGAAGGCCUUCGGGUUGUAAAGUACUUUCAGCGGGGAGGAAGGGAGUAAAGUUAAUACCUUGGCUCAUUGACGUUACCCGCAGAAGAAGCCCCGGCUAACUCCGUG